UGUUCCAUGAUAAUGGAUUAGGUAAAUAUUCCAUGAUAAUGGGUUAGGUAAAUGUUUCAUGAUAAUGGUUUAGGUAAAUGUUUCAUGAUAAGAAAUUCAUGUCUUUUGUAUUAAAGAAUUAAAUGGAUGAAAUAUGAAGUUUUAUUAAAAGAAAAAGGGGUGAAAAGAACAAAGUUUUGUCCAUCUUUGUUCAUCAUAGCUGAAAGUUAGAGAAGAGAAAGGAGAGGAGAAAGCUCUUGAGUAUUCGGUCAUUAGGAGGAGGAAAAUUGAAGGCGGUUCGUGUGUGGAUCUCGUCAGCAUAUCAUCGCAAACAGGAAAUCCCUUACCCAUAGUGGGCUUGGAGUUGUGAGGGAAUU